GAUGAACGCUGGCGGCGUGCCUAAUACAUGCAAGUCGAGCGAACAGACGAGGAGCUUGCUCCUCUGACGUUAGCGGCGGACGGGUGAGUAACACGUGGAUAACCUACCUAUAAGACUGGGAUAACUUCGGGAAACCGGAGCUAAUACCGGAUAAUAUAUUGAACCGCAUGGUUCAAUAGUGAAAGACGGUUUUGCUGUCACUUAUAGAUGGAUCCGCGCCGCAUUAGCUAGUUGGUAAGGUAACGGCUUACCAAGGCAACGAUGCGUAGCCGACCUGAGAGGGUGAUCGGCCACAUUGGAACUGAGCCACGGUCCAGACGCCUACGAGAGGCAGCAGUAGGGAAUCUUCCGCAAUGGGCGAAAGCCUGACGGAGCAACGCCGCGUGAGUGAUGAAGGUCUUCGGAUCGUAAAACUCUGUUAUUAGGUAAGAACAAAUGUGUAAGUAACUAUGCACGGCUUGACGGUACCUAGUCAGAAAGCCACGGCUAACUACGUG
rnacentral:rRNA from 1 species